GAUGAACGCUGGCGGCGUGCUUAACACAUGCAAGUCGAACGAAGCACCUCAUUCUGAUUUCUUCGGAAUGAAAAAUUUGGUGACUGAGUGGCGGACGGGUGAGUAACGCGUGGGUAACCUGCCUCAUACAGGGGGAUAACAGUUAGAAAUGACUGCUAAUACCGCAUAAGACCACAGAACCGCAUGGUGCAGGGGUAAAAACUCCGGUGGGAUGAGAUGGACCCGCGUCUGAUUAGGUAGUUGGUGGGGUAACGGCCUACCAAGCCGACGAUCAGUAGCCGACCUGAGAGGGUGACCGGCCACAUUGGGACUGAGACACGGCCCAAACUCCUACGGGAGGCAGCAGUGGGGAAUAUUGCACAAUGGGGGAAACCCUGAUGCAGCGACGCCGCGUGAGCGAUGAAGUAUUUCGGUAUGUAAAGCUCUAUCAGCAGGGAAGAAAAUGACGGUACCUGACUAAGAAGCACCGGCUAAAUACGUGCCAGCAGCCGCCGUAA
rnacentral:rRNA from 1 species